AUACAGAGGGUGCAAGCGUUAUUCGGAAUUACUGGGCGUAAAGCGCGCGUAGGCGGAUGAUUAAGUCAGUUGUGAAGGCCCUGGGCUCAACCUAGGAACUGCAUCUGAUACUGGUCGUCUAGAGUUUAAGAGAGGGAAGUGGAAUUCCAGGUGUAGCAGUGAAAUGCGUAGAUAUCUGGAGGAACAUCAGUGGCGAAGGCGACUUCCUGGCUUAAAACUGACGCUGAGGUGCGAAAGCGUGGGUAGCGAACGGGAUUAGAAACCCCAGUAGUCC
rnacentral:rRNA from 1 species